rnacentral:rRNA from 1 species
UACGUAGGGGGCUAGCGUUGUCCGGAAUCAUUGGGCGUAAAGCGCGUGUAGGCGGCCCGGUAAGUCCGCUGUGAAAGUCGGGGGCUCAACCCUCGGAUGCCGGUGGAUACUGUCGGGCUUGAGUACGGAAGAGGCGAGUGGAAUUCCUGGUGUAGCGGUGAAAUGCGCAGAUAUCAAGGAGGAACACCAAUGGCGAAGGCGGGGUCUCUGGACAGUUCCUGACACUGAGGCACGAAGGCCAGGGGAGCAAACGGGA